CAGAUCAAGCCGAGCGUGCUCGUGAAGGGUGGGGACUAUACCCGCGAGCAGGUUGUCGGCCAUGAGAUCGUCACCGCCAACGGCGGCGAGAUUGUGCUUGUCGACAUUCUGCCCGGCCACAGCACGACGNGUCGCUGGUCAAACGGGCGCGAGAAGGCAAGGCAUGACCGCGAACGCGUCCAAUCUUGCGACCGGCGUCUCGCCAUCGAUCUGGCGCAACACAGCCGCCUGGACAAAGGCGGCCGAUGUC
rnacentral:misc_RNA from 1 species